rnacentral:rRNA from 1 species
CAGUCGCCGCGGUAAUACGUAGGGUGCAAGCGUUAUUCGGAAUUACUGGGCGUAAAGCGUGCGCAGGCGGUUAUAUAAGACAGAUGUGAAAUCCCCGGGCUCAACCUGGGAACUGCAUUUGUGACUGUAUAGCUAGAGUACGGCAGAGGGGGAUGGAAUUCCGCGUGUAGCAGUGAAAUGCGUAGAUAUGCGGAGGAACACCGAUGGCGAAGGCAAUCCCCUGGGCCUGUACUGACGCUCAUGCACGAAAGCGUGGGGAGCAAACAGGAUUAGAUACCCCCGUAGUCCCUGUCUCUUAUAC